UCUCCAGAGGCAUUUUUUUUCGUGUCGGGCUGGAUAAACCCAUUUUAAAAUCGAAAAACGUUUUCAAAAUAUUUUUUUAUAGACAGUUCAGUGUCUAAUCUACGUGAUACAAGGCUAAUAUUAUGAAUAAGUUUAUUAUAAAUAAUUUAAAAAAAAUCUUAAACCCUAAAAUCCUGAUCGCUCUGGGUUGACCCAACUCCCGAUUGAAUGAAAAAAAUAUUUUUUAACUUUUUAAUGAGAAGGUUCAUAUAAAACAACUUGUUUAGAUUACAUAACAAAUAGUUAAUCUUCAUAGUAAUAAAAUAUUUGUAGUUAUAUUAACAAUACUUUUGCCACAAUUUGAAUUUAAAAUCGUGACCGGGCAUUUUAUCUCAUCGCUCUGCGCUGAGGUAAAACAUCGCGCUCAUCCCUAGUUACGCGUUAUAGACACUCUAUUCCCCUCCCGCGGGGCAACGCCAGUAGUGGUCUAACCGCCGAGGAGGAUACCUGUGUGCCACGUUCUCGCGCUCCAACUUUACGAAGAUUGAAAUCAUGCCUCGAAAUAAAUUAUCUAUUGAAGAAAAACGUCUUAGGAAGAAAUUGGCUGAGCGUCGUAGAAUGGCCAAAAUAAAAAAUGAUCCAGAUCUAUACGCACAAUGGCUUGUAAAGUCCAGAGAGAGUUAUCAAAGGAAAAAAGCUCGGGGCACAGUACUACCAAUGAGUGAUUUAACUCCAAGCCAGCAAAAGGUUCGUAGGAAGAAAAGUAGACAGAGUUCUCGACGAUAUUAUUUAAAGAAAAAAGUGGAUAAGUUAUCAGCAACUGAUGAGCUCCCAAUAAAUGAAGAACCUAUCUAUAUAUCUGAGAACUGUGAUCCUCUUUCAAAUGUUCUUUACUUUCUACUAAAGAUAUAGUUAAGGAAUUAAGUGAUUAUUACAAAUAUCUUAGAUAAUCUUGAAAAGACUGUAUUUUAGUCAUGAUUCUAAGUCCUAUUAAGCAUUAUGAUGAUUACACAUAGUUAAGUUUAUAAAUUGUUUAUUUUUUAAGAAUUUUAUUUUGUUCUUUAUAAAAGUUAGUUUUCUUUAUUUAGUUUGUCUAAGUCAUUUUAUAAUUAUAAAAGACUGUAGGUAUUAAUAGUUGAUCUCAAAAGGUUUUUAAUUUUGUCUCAUUUACCUAGAAGUGAUUUAAUUAAGUCCAAAUAAAUGGAACUACCCCAAAAGUUGAGUUUUAUAAUUAUGUUAAUUUGUUAUUUUAGCAAUUAUUUUAUAUAAACUAUUCCGUAUUUUUUUUUUAUAUGUAUGACUGAUGCCUUGACCAUUUUCUAAAAAUACAUUUCUCUUAUAUAUAUCUUGUUACACGUACACUGAAUAUGACUGAAAAUGCCUAAAUAAAUAAUAUUUUAUCAAUAUAUUUUUUUUGUUUCACUGAUUUCACCAUUUAUGAUCGCUCUGGCACCAAUUAUGAUUGCUCUGGUCGCGAAAUUUUUUAAACUUAAAUAUUUC